rnacentral:tRNA from 1 species
GGGAAUGUAACUCAGUUGGUUUAGAGUGCCUGUCUGUCGAACAGGAAGUCGUGGGUUCAAAUCCCAUCAUUCCCG